GAUGAACGCUGGCGGCGUGCCUAAUACAUGCAAGUCGAGCGAACGGACGAGAAGCUUGCUUCUCUGAUGUUAGCGGCGGACGGGUGAGUAACACGUGGAUAACCUACCUAUAAGACUGGGAUAACUUCGGGAAACCGUAGCUAAUACCGGAUAAUAUUUUGAACCGCAUGGUUCAAAAGUGAAAGACGGUCUUGCUGUCACUUAUAGAUGGAUCCGCGUUGCAUUAGCUAGUUGGUAAGGUAACGGCUUACCAAGGCAACGAUGCAUAGCCGACCUGAGAGGGUGAUCGGACACACUGGAACUGAGACACGGUCCAGACUCCUACGGGAGGCAGCAGUAGGGAAUCUUCCGCAAUGGGCGAAAGCCUGACGGAGCAACGCCGCGUGAGUGAUGAAGGUCUUCGGAUCGUAAAACUCUGUUAUUAGGGAGGAACAUAUGUGUAAGUAACUGUGCACAUCUUGACGGUACCUAAUCAGAAAGCCACGGCUAACUACGUG
rnacentral:rRNA from 1 species